rnacentral:sRNA from 1 species
CUAUUUUGGAAUAUUUUAUGCAAAAAAAUAUUAAUAUUUCAUUUUGUUAACCUAAAAACAAUUUCCAAAUAAGGGUAAAAUGGUCAUUAAAAAUUUAAAAAGGGUAGAGUUGAAAAGGAGCAUCAUGAAAAGGGCAUUAGAAAGAAUUAUUCUAACAUUUAUAAAAUUUGUAGAAACAUUUUUUCAAUAACUAUUUUGCUAUAAUAUUAUACUAGUCAACUAAAAGAUUUAUUUUCUUUCUCAUUUUACCAAAUU